rnacentral:lncRNA from 1 species
CCCGAUUAUGUUACUUUUACGGCAUGGAUUAUGAUUAAUGACCUACAAGAAGUUAUAUAAUAAAGACAAGGAUGUGUAGUAUGGUUGCCAAUGAGACAAAUAUCUACCAGAGUUAAAAAAAAAUGCGAAUUUAAGCAAUAAUAGGAAACUUUACGAUCUUGAACAAUUGUAAAAGAUAGUACCUUGUUAUAAAAGGCCCCG